CGCGGCCUAUCAGCUUGUUGGUGGGGUAGUGGCCUACCAAGGCGGCGACGGGUAGCCGGCCUGAGAGGGUGACCGGCCACAUUGGGACCGAGAUACGGCCCAGACUCCUACGGGAGGCAGCAGUGGGGAAUAUUGCACAAUGGGCGCAAGCCUGAUGCAGCAACGCCGCGUGCGGGAUGACGGCCUUCGGGUUGUAAACCGCUUUCAGCAGGGACGAAGCUUUUUGUGACGGUACCUGCAGAAGAAGCACCGGCUAACUACGUGCCAGCAGCCGCGGUGAUACGUAGGGUGCGAGCGUUGUCCGGAUUUAUUGGGCGUAAAGGGCUCGUAGGCGGUUGAUCGCGUCGGAAGUGGAAACUUGAUGCUUAACGUUGAGCGUGCUUUCGAUACGGGUUGACUUGAGGAAGGUAGGGGAGAAUGGAAUUCCUGGUGGAGCGGUGGAAUGCGCAGAUAUCAGGAGGAACACCAGUGGCGAAGGCGGUUCUCUGGACCUUUCCUGACGCUGAGGAGCGAAAGCGUGGGGAGCGAACAGGCUUAGAUACCCUGGUAGUCCACGCUGUAAACGGUGGGUACUAGGUGUGGGGUCCAUUCCACGGAUUCUGUGCCGUAGCUAACGCAUUAAGUACCCCGCCUGGGGAGUACGG
rnacentral:rRNA from 1 species